UGCAGUCGAACGGAAACGAUAGAAGCUUGCUUCUAGGCGUCGAGUGGCGGACGGGUGAGUAAUGCUUGGGAAUCUGCCUAAUAGUGGGGAACAACUCGGGGAAACUCGGGCUAAUACCGCAUAAUCUCUUCGGAGGAAAGGGGGCCUCUACAUGUAAGCUCUCGCUAAUAGAUGAGCCCAAGUCAGAUUAGCUUGUUGGUAAGGUAACGGCUUACCAAGGCUACGAUCUGUAGCUGGUCUGAGAGGAUGAUCAGCCACACUGGGACUGAGACACAGCCCAGACUCCUACGGGAGGCAGCAGUAGGGAAUAUUGGACAAUGAGCGAAAGCUUGAUCCAGCUAUGCCGCGUGUGCGAUGACGGCCCUCGGGUUGUAAAGCACUUUAAUCAGAGAAGAAGCAUUUUAAGUUAAUACCUUAAUAUGUUGACGUUACCUGAAGAAUAAGGACCGGAUAACUCCGUGCCAGCAGCCGCGGUAAUACGGAGGGUCCAAGCGUUAAUCGGAAUUACUGGGCGUAAAGCGCGCGUAGGCGGAUUAGCAAGUAGUAUGUGAAAAGCCCCGGGCUCAACCCUAGGAACUGCAUCCAAAACUACUAAGCUAGAGUACGAGAGAGGACAGUAGACAAACUGGUGUAGCGGUGCAAUGCGUAGAUAUAAGAAGGACUACCAAAGGCGAAAGCAGACACUGGCCCACAACGACGCUGAAGGGGAAAGAGGGGUAGACACAGGAUAGAACCCGGUA
rnacentral:rRNA from 1 species